UAUAUGAAAAGUAGAGCUAAUAUAUGGCGCUCAUGCAAUAAUCCAAAUAAGGUCGCUCUUGACUAGAUGACUAGGGAUCUGACACUGAUGAUCUAAGCUUAGUGAUUGCCAAACCAACCCGAACUAGGCGGUGGCAAACCGAACCGACACCAAAUCAAAACAAUUCAAAUAGUCGGAUCAGUUCAGUUAUAAAUCCAUCUUGCCCUUGGAUGGUUCGAGAGCUUAGAGGCUCUCUCUUCACUUUGCCGCCAGAUGCCGCUUGAUCCCUUUGUUCGACGUCUGCCUCCCUCUCUGUCUCUCUCUCCUUGCCAUCCUUUCCUCUACUAUACCUUGAGGCCGAGAAGAAGCCGAGGGUUUCUUGGUCGUACACAGGUACUUUUUAAUUCAUAGGCAAAAGAGAAAAAGAGUUUUGGGCGAAACCCUAGAUCGUCGCCAUCGGAAGGCUUGUCAUCUUCACCUCCCUCCUUGUGGCCUGCCUGCCUGCCUUCGCUAGUAAGCCUCCCUUCCUCUCUCCCUCUCUCUCUCUCUCC
rnacentral:lncRNA from 1 species